rnacentral:rRNA from 1 species
UUUAUGGAGAGUUUGAUCCUGGCUCAGGAUGAACGCUGGCGGCGUGCCUAAUACAUGCAAGUCGAGCGAACGGACGAGAAGCUUGCUUUUCUGAUGUUAGCGGCGGACGGGUGAGUAACACGUGGAUAACCUACCUAUAAGACUGGGAUAACUUCGGGAAACCGGAGCUAAUACCGGAUAAUAUUUUGAACCGCAUGGUUCAAAAGUGAAAGACGGUCUUGCUGUCACUUAUAGAUGGAUCCGCGCUGCAUUAGCUAGUUGGUAAGGUAACGGCUUACCACAGGCAACGAUGCAUAGCCGACCUGAGAGGGUGAUCGGCCACACUGGAACUGAGACACGGUCCAGACUCCUACGGGAGGCAGCAGUAGGGAAUCUUCCGCAAUGGGCGAAAGCCUGACGGAGCAACGCCGCGUGAGUGAUGAAGGUCUUCGGAUCGUAAAACUCUGUUAUUAGGGAAGAACAUAUGUGUAAGUAACUGUGCACAUCUUGACGGUACCUAAUCAGAAAGCCACGGCUAACUACGUGCCAGCAGCCGCGGUAAUACGUAGGUGGCAAGCGUUAUCCGGAAUUAUUGGGCGUAAAGCGCGCGUAGGCGGUUUUUUAAGUCUGAUGUGAAAGCCCACGGCUCAACCGUGGAGGGUCAUUGGAAACUGGAAAACUUGAGUGCAGAAGAGGAAAGUGGAAUUCCAUGUGUAGCGGUGAAAUGCGCAGAGAUAUGGAGGAACACCAGUGGCGAAGGCGACUUUCUGGUCUGUAACUGACGCUGAUGUGCGAAAGCGUGGGGAUCAAACAGGAUUAGAUACCCUGGUAGUCCACGCCGUAAACGAUGAGUGCUAAGUGUUAGGGGUUUCCGCCCCUUAGUGCUGCAGCUAACGCAUUAAGCACUCCGCCUGGGGAGUACGACCGCAAGGUUGAAACUCAAAGGAAUUGACGGGGACCCGCACAAGCGGUGGAGCAUGUGGUUUAAUUCGAAGCAACGCGAAGAACCUUACCAAAUCUUGACAUCCUUUGACAACUCUAGAGAUAGAGCCUUCCCCUUCGGGGGACAAAGUGACAGGUGGUGCAUGGUUGUCGUCAGCUCGUGUCGUGAGAUGUUGGGUUAAGUCCCGCAACGAGCGCAACCCUUAAGCUUAGUUGCCAUCAUUAAGUUGGGCACUCUAAGUUGACUGCCGGUGACAAACCGGAGGAAGGUGGGGAUGACGUCAAAUCAUCAUGCCCCUUAUGAUUUGGGCUACACACGUGCUACAAUGGACAAUACAAAGGGCAGCGAAACCGCGAGGUCAAGCAAAUCCCAUAAAGUUGUUCUCAGUUCGGAUUGUAGUCUGCAACUCGACUACAUGAAGCUGGAAUCGCUAGUAAUCGUAGAUCAGCAUGCUACGGUGAAUACGUUCCCGGGUCUUGUACACACCGCCCGUCACACCACGAGAGUUUGUAACACCCGAAGCCGGUGGAGUAACCUUUUAGGAGCUAGCCGUCGAAGGUGGGACAAAUGAUUGGGGUGAAGUCGUAACAAGGUAGCCGUAUCGGAAGGUGCGGCUGGAUCACCUCCUUU